rnacentral:misc_RNA from 1 species
GAUGAAGAACGUAGCGAAAUGCGAUAAGUAGUGUGAAUUGCAGAAUUCAGUGAAUCAUCGAAUCUUUGAACGCACAUUGCGCCCCUUGGUACCCCGAGGGGCAUGCCUGUUCGAGCGUCAUUUCACCACUCAAGCCUGGCUUGGUGUUGGGCGACGUCCUCUUUGGGGACGCGCCUCGAAACGCUCGGCGGCGUGGCACCGGCUUUAAGCGUAGCAGAAUCUUUCGCUUUGGAAGUCGGGGCCCCGUCUGCCGGAAGACCUGCUCGCAAGGUUGACCUCGGAUCAGGCAGGGAUACCCGCUGAACUUAAGCAUAUCAAUAAGCGGAGGA